rnacentral:tRNA from 3 species
CUUAGCUCAGUGGUUAGAGCAGGCGACUCAUAAUCGCUUGGUCGCUGGUUCAAGUCCAGCAG